rnacentral:rRNA from 1 species
GAUCCUGGCUCAGGAUGAACGCUGGCGGCGUGCUUAACACAUGCAAGUCGAACGAAGCACCUUGAUUUGAUUCUUCGGAUGAAGAUCUUGAUGACUGAGUGGCGGACGGGUGAGUAACGCGUAUGCAACCUGCCCGAUACCGGGGUAUAGCCCAUGGAAACGUGGAUUAACACCCCAUAGUACUUUUAUCCUGCCUGGGAUGGGAGUUAAAUGUUCAAGGUAUCGGAUGGGCAUGCG